rnacentral:rRNA from 1 species
CGGAGGGAUCAUUACCGAGUUUACAACUCCCAAACCCCUGUGAACAUACCAAUUGUUGCCUCGGCGGAUCAGCCCGCUCCCGGUAAAACGGGACGGCCCGCCAGAGGACCCCUAAACUCUGUUUCUAUAUGUAACUUCUGAGUAAAACCAUAAAUAAAUCAAAACUUUCAACAACGGAUCUCUUGGUUCUGGCAUCGAUGAAGAACGCAGCAAAAUGCGAUAAGUAAUGUGAAUUGCAGAAUUCAGUGAAUCAUCGAAUCUUUGAACGCACAUUGCGCCCGCCAGUAUUCUGGCGGGCAUGCCUGUUCGAGCGUCAUUUCAACCCUCAAGCCCCCGGGUUUGGUGUUGGGGAUCGGCGAGCCCUUGCGGCAAGCCGGCCCCGAAAUCUAGUGGCGGUCUCGCUGCAGCUUCCAUUGCGUAGUAGUAAAACCCUCGCAACUGGUACGCGGCGCGGCCAAGCCGUUAAACCCCCAACUUCUGAAUGUUGACCUCGGAUCAGGUAGGAAUACCCGCUGAACUUAAGCAU